rnacentral:rRNA from 1 species
CCUACGGGUGGCAGCAGUGGGGAAUAUUGCACAAUGGGCGCAAGCCUGAUGCAGCCAUGCCGCGUGUGUGAAGAAGGCCUUCGGGUUGUAAAGCACUUUCAGCGGGGAGGAAGGCGGUGAGGUUAAUAACCUCAUCGAUUGACGUUACCCGCAGAAGAAGCACCGGCUAACUCCGUGCCAGCAGCCGCGGUAAUACGGAGGGUGCAAGCGUUAAUCGGAAUUACUGGGCGUAAAGCGCACGCAGGCGGUCUGUCAAGUCGGAUGUGAAAUCCCCGGGCUCAACCUGGGAACUGCAUUCGAAACUGGCAGGCUAGAGUCUUGUAGAGGGGGGUAGAAUGCCAGGUGUAGCGGUGAAAUGCGUAGAGAUCUGGAGGAAUACCGGUGGCGAAGGCGGCCCCCUGGACAAAGACUGACGCUCAGGUGCGAAGGCGUGGGGAGCAAACAGGAUUAGAUACCCGUGUAGUC